GCGGGAUAGAAAAGGCAGAUCUGCAAGGCCUGUUGUGGGCACAAUCCGCCGGGCCUGACGCGGAGCAGGGCGGUCGAUGGCAGGAUAGCCGGGGCGAAGACAGCAGAGGGGCAGGAGGAAGUGUGUGUGUGUGUGUGUGUGUGUGUGUGUGUGGGUGGGGGGGCGGUUCUCAGGGAGCACAGGGAGAGUCUGAGAUGAGCUUUGAAGGUUGUAGAAGGCAGCAGAAUAAGGUUGGUCUGAGAAGUUGGUCAUCUCUGUGUGAUUAACAAACUUUUACCUUUUGACCAAGGACUUUCUGUAGGUACGCUUUCUUCUGUAUUUCAAAGGUAAAAGGUUAAUGUUUGACAACAAAUGGGCAUUACGGGUUGCGUUUCGCUCAAAAGUCCUUCUCGAUUCACACGCCGCGGACCUUCUUUCCUCUAGUUUCCUUGAUUUGCAGCAACGUGUGAGUAAAAUCAGGCGGCAAAACCAGUUGCCAGAUGUUUGCUGUGAGUUUUACGGCCUGACGCCUCUGCCAGGUGAGGGGAAGCCGAGGCGUAAGAAGUAGGAAAUUCUCAUCGCAGUCUAAUCAAAGAAGAGCCAGUCUUUCCAAAGGCCAUUUGGUUUGGAGCUGGUUGGUGGUUAGUGCAGUGUAGGAUAAGCUCGUUGAACCCCGAUGUGGCCUCAAGAUGCUCAGCACAGAAAACACAGCCGAAAUCAGUUAAGGUAAGCCCCGAAGAGGAGGACACGGCCCCACGGGCCCGAUGGCUCUCACAGACGGCCUCCACUUUUUUUUUAUUUUCGUCUCCUUCUCCUCCCCUCCUUUCCUUCUUUUUUUUUUUUUCCUACGUCCUUUACUCUCCAAAACACGCCUUGCCGUGGCUGGUCAAACGGAACCAAGUCAGGUGUUUCUGUGAGGUUUGGUCCCCUUCAACCAGCUACUGCGCCGUGAAUUCAGUCAGCGUGGAAUCAAAGACACAGUGGCGCUGUGGUGCAUGCUGCAUACUUUAGAGGUGGUGGUCUACUGACAAUGGUAGAUGGUGUUCUUCGGUUAUUUGAUGUUUUGUUUCCUGUAUGGCAAAUGAAUGAAUAAAGUUUGAUUUAAUGAUUGUCAAAUACA